CCGUUGCUGACAGCGGAGGGUCAUUACCGAGUUUACAACUCCCAAACCCAAUGUGAACCAUACCAAACUGUUGCCUCGGCGGGGUCACGCCCCGGGUGCGUCGCAGCCCCGGAACCAGGCGCCCGCCGGAGGGACCAACCAAACUCUUUUCUGUAGUCCCCUCGCGGACGUUAUUUCUUACAGCUCUGAGCAAAAAUUCAAAAUGAAUCAAAACUUUCAACAACGGAUCUCUUGGUUCUGGCAUCGAUGAAGAACGCAGCGAAAUGCGAUAAGUAAUGUGAAUUGCAGAAUUCAGUGAAUCAUCGAAUCUUUGAACGCACAUUGCGCCCGCCAGUAUUCUGGCGGGCAUGCCUGUCCGAGCGUCAUUUCAACCCUCGAACCCCUCCGGGGGGUCGGCGUUGGGGACCUCGGGAGCCCCUAAGACGGGAUCCCGGCCCCGAAAUACAGUGGCGGUCUCGCCGCAGCCUCUCCUGCGCAGUAGUUUGCACAACUCGCACCGGGAGCGCGGCGCGUCCACGUCCGUAAAACACCCAACUUCUGAAAUGUUGACCUCGGAUCAGGUAGGAAUACCCGCUGAACUUAAGCAUAUCAAA
rnacentral:rRNA from 1 species